rnacentral:tRNA from 1 species
GGCGGGGUUCCGGAGCGGUCAAACGGACGGGACUGUAAAUCCCGCGGCUCAGCCUUCGCAGGUUCGAAUCCUGCCCCCGCCA